GAUCCUGGCUCAGGAUGAACGCUAGCUACAGGCUUAACACAUGCAAGUCGAGGGGCAGCAUGAACUUAGCUUGCUAAGUUUGAUGGCGACCGGCGCACGGGUGAGUAACACGUAUCCAACCUGCCGAUGACUCGGGGAUAGCCUUUCGAAGAAAGAUUAAUACCGAUGGCAUAGUUCUUCCGUCAUGGUAGAACUAUUAAAGAAUUUACGGUUCAUCGAUGGGGAGUGCGUUCCAUUAGUUGG
rnacentral:rRNA from 1 species